CUACAUCAAUGUGAAUUCAAAGCGUGUACCUGGAAACAGAUCACAAUAGAAGAAGAGGAGGUCAGCGGUAAGUAACAACUACUGGAAUCCAACCAGUCACAAACAACAACAAUAGGAGUGUUUUUGAACAAAAAUACAACUUCACAAGACCUAGGAAAGCAUCACAGAAAGUGUAGCACUCAACAGAUGACCAAACAUAAGUUGAUUGAACCCAGAAAACAACUCAAAAUUAGACCAGCAGAUCCUUGAAACUACAGCAAUCAGAGACUGAACUAGAGGAUGUAAAUCAAUAACCAUAAGUCGAAAUUAAUCCAAGGCUUUU
rnacentral:lncRNA from 1 species